UGCCUACGGGACGCAGCAGUGGGGAAUAUUGCACAAUGGGGGAAACCCUGAUGCAGCGACGCCGCGUGAGUGAAGAAGUAUUUCGGUAUGUAAAGCUCUAUCCGCAGGGAAGAUAAUGACGGUACCUGACUAAGAAGCUCCGGCUAAAUACGUGCCAGCAGCCGCGGUAAUACGUAGGAUGCGAGCGUUAUCCGGAUUUAUUGGGUUUAAAGGGUGCGCAGGCGGACCAUCAAGUCAGCGGUAAAAUCGUGGGGCCCAACCCCAUCCCGCCGUUGAAACUGGCGGUCUUGAGUUAGCGAGGAGUU
rnacentral:rRNA from 1 species